rnacentral:tRNA from 1 species
CGUGGUGCAGAGGUUAGCAUGUCCGCCUUUGACGCCGAUCGUCUGGGUGCAAAUCCCGGCG